rnacentral:rRNA from 1 species
CAUCGGCUAACUCCGUGCCAGCAGCCGCGGUAAUACGGAGGAUGCGAGCUUUAUCCGGAUUUAUUGGGUUUAAAGGGUGCGUAGGCGGAUUCUUAAGUCAGCGGUAAAAUGUCCGGGCUCAACCCGGGCCGGCCGUUGAAACUGGGGGUCUUGAGUGGGCGAGAAGUAUGCGGAAUGCGUGGUGUAGCGGUGAAAUGCAUAGAUAUCGCGCAGAACCCCGAUUGCGAAGGCAGCGUGCCGUGCCGCCACUGACGCUGAGGCACGAAAGCGCGGGGAUCGAACAG